rnacentral:lncRNA from 1 species
CACAACACUCACGUCCAAGGGUAAAAUAGUCAACUCACGUCAUCGCUAAUUUAUUUCGGGACGGGCUGUGAUAGACAGAGGGACUGAUAGAUUGGAGAGAGAUGGGAGCUAUGGGUUUUGACUGAGUGAGAGAGAGAUUUAGCUAGGUCAUUUGCCAGGAUCUAUGGGAUUUUCUUCGAUUUUACAGAGAGAUGGACAAGGAGAGAGAUACAUAGCGGAAAGCAUGGUUGUGUGCAUUCUUUGGGGUUAACAUGUUAUGCACAUAGUCGGUGAGGAGGGGAUGGCUAA